AAUCAACGCUGGCGGCGUGCCUAACACAUGCAAGUCGAACGCGAAAGUCCCGCAAGGGAUUAGUAGAGUGGCAAACGGGUGAGUAACGCGUGGGUGACCUGCCUUCGAGCGGGGGAUAACGUUCCGAAAGGGACGCUAAUACCGCAUAACAUCCGACCUUUCAAGAGGUGGAGAUCAAAGCUGCGGAUCGCAAGACGUAGCACUCGAAGAGGGGCCCGCGUCCGAUUAGCUAGUUGGCGGGGUAAAGGCCCACCAAGGCGACGAUCCGUAGCUGGUCUGAGAGGAUGAUCAGCCACACUGGAACUGGGACACGGUCCAGACUCCUACGGGAGGCAGCAGUGGGGAAUAUUGGACAAUGGGCGCAAGCCUGAUCCAGCCAUACCGCGUGGGUGAAGAAGGCCUUCGGGUUGUAAAGCCCUUUUGUUGGGAAAGAAAUCCAGCUGGCUAAUACCCGGUUGGGAUGACGGUACCCAAAGAAUAAGCACCGGCUAACUUCGUGCCAGCCGCCGCCGUAAAAC
rnacentral:rRNA from 1 species